rnacentral:tRNA from 1 species
GGGUCCGUAACUCAACAGGUAGAGUACCGGACUUUUAAUCCGGCAGUCGGGGUUCAAGUCCCUGCGGACCUACCA